GAGUGCUCAUUUCAGUCAUACAUAUACUAAAGUUGAAAUGAUACAGAGAAGAUUAGCAUGGUCCCUGUGUGAGGUUAACACACAAAUUUGUGAAGCAGUCCAUGUUUAA
ensembl:snRNA U6 U6 spliceosomal RNA